GAUAACAGAACACUAUUCCCUAUCCUUGAGAACAUGACAGCAGAAAAGAUUGGUUUCUAAGAAGAGUUUUCCUUGAAGCUCUGGCUCCAUAACUUACGACCAUUUCAGGACACUUGCUCAUUCCUGGACUUUGGCUGAAGAAGCAGCCCCUGUCUAGGUCAUUGUUAGUCUUCUGGCAGAGGAAAUAGAAGGCAAGAGAAGACGUAUGUGAUGGCUCUUACAGCUUCUAUUAGAAAUGGAAUGUAUCACUUUCUCUCACAUUUCUCUGGCCAAAGAGACUGAGGAGAGAAAAUCUAACUAACCCAACAGAAGAAAAAGUUUCAAGAAAGAGAUUGUCACCAAUGCCAAAGUUGGCCAAGAUAUGCAGGUAGAAGACAAUGAAAACAAGACAACCGCAUUCAAUAAAGGAAGAUUAGCCCUGGGCUAACUGCUG